rnacentral:rRNA from 1 species
CAUGAAGCUGGAAUCGCUAGUAAUCGCGGAUCAGAAUGCCGCGGUGAAUACGUUCCCGGGUCUUGUACACACCGCCCGUCACACCAUGGGAGUCGGUAACGCCCGAAGUCAGUGACCCAACCUUAAGGAGGGAACUGCCGAAGGCGGGACUGGUAACUGGGGUGAAGUCGUAACAAGGUAGC